ACACUGCUCUGGAAAGGGAUGGUUCUUUGUAUAAGGAUUACUCUAUUCAGACUUUCUGCCAAGCAUCAGCCACAUAAGGAAAGCAAAGUUCACUGCCAUUUAUUUUGUCCAGAUCUUUCUCAUGCCUAAGAAUAACCCUUACUGCUGCCUGGAAAGGUUCUUAAGAUGAACUUUGCCAGGAUCAAAAUGCAGGACAGACUUCUACUAUACAAGCUGAAAAACAAGCAGCCCACUUCGUCGCUUUGAGAACAGAGAGGGUAAAGGGGAAGAAGACGGGUGACUGCAGCAAUCGAAGGUGGAAAAACUGCGACAUUUACAGAUGACCAGGAGGACUUAUUUUUAUAAAGAAACUUAAGAGCAAUCCUGAAGAAGUCCGGCCAGACACUAACUGAUAUUCCAGAAAACAAGGCAGACAUAAGCACGAAGCCUCAAGAGCUUGCGAUUAAAUAAAAUAUAUUACCUCCUUUAUGAUAUAUUA